GACAGAGGGUGCAAACGUUGUUCGGAAUUACUGGGCGUAAAGCGCGUGUAGGCUGCUUCGCAAGUCGGAUGUGAAAGCCCUGGGCUCAACCCAGGAAGUGCAUUCGAAACUGCAGAGCUGGAGUCCUGGAGAGGAAGGCGGAAUUCUCGGUGUAGAGGUGAAAUUCGUAGAUAUCGAGAGGAACACCGGUGGCGAAGGCGGGUGCUGGGCGUGACACUGACGCUGAUGCGCGAAAGCUAGGGGAGCGAAGCGGG
rnacentral:rRNA from 1 species